UAUGACCUGUAAUGUUUACUUAAAUGAUCGGUGCAAACUAACAAAUAUAACUGGACAAUUAUCACCCAGUGUGUGUCUAAAUAAUAUACUGGGUGUCAAGUGUGUGUAUAUAUAUAAUAAAAUUGAUAAAAUAAAAAAAUUUUAAAGAAAGAAAUAUAUAUAAAGAAAGAAUUGAAAUUUUUCCAGUCAACACAUAUUUAGUUGCGGAUGUUAAGCGAGGUUGUGGUCAUUGCGCCAUUGAUAUUUGCAAAUGACACUGACGUUUGCCGUUCAUCCAGUUGAAAAAACACCUGCGUAAAGCAAAUAAUUUAUGCCUGUUAAACACGAAUACCCAUAUAAAUAUUCUUUUAUUCUUUUAUAUAUAAAUCGACUAGAGUCCACUGCCCCGCCUACAGGUCGAUUAACUUUAGCUAUCUCGUCGUCCAGUGGUUUCUAAUGAACGAAAACAGAGUUUAAAAUUACGCGAGUUCACGACGGGUGUUUGCCCGAUAAAGGUGAAAAGAGAAAGAAAAAUGUAAAUAAAUUAACAAAUACAAAAAAAAAAUAUGUAUAUAUCGUAUAUAUAUAUG